UUUCUUACAAGCAACGUGCAUGGGUUUUCCGCUCCUGCAAAACCUCUCACUUUCAUUAGUAAUAUUAUCCUACCAAAUAAUAACAGUACCCUAAACCGAUUUUUUGAGUGAAUAAAGAUGUGUUUUACAGUAAUCACUUUUAAGCAAUGCAGUAAAAAGUGGUUAAACAUAAAAAGGUGAUUAGUUAAAAUUAAUUUCACCAUUUGCUUCAGCACAUUCCAUUGCUAUAUCCAUGGCUGAUUUGAGAGAUCCAACAACUGCAAUUUUUUUGCCUUUCACUAACUGAGUGCAAGCUGAGACACCUUCUAUUUUGUUCUUAGAGAUGGAAGCAUAAUCCAUUGAGUGAAGCACUUUCCCACGAAACACUUCUGGGCCUUCAUUUGGUGGGAACUCUGGUAUGUAUGGCAUCCCACUGUAUUUCCCAAUGCACAAUAUCACAAACCCAGCUUGAUGAACCUGCCAUAUAGAAAAUAUAGUCGUCUUUGUAAUAAUAUUACUCUUGAUCUUCCAUAAAUAUUUCGAUACUAAUCUUACAGUAAAAUUCUAGCUGUGCAUGCAAAAUUUCUAAAACGAAAAAUAUGGACUCACACCGUUACACCUAUUCUAUAUUCCUAUUUUUCAUCCAAAAUUAUAAAUGAUUAUUUUUAAUUUCUAUAAUAGCUUUGAAAUGUUUAUGAAAGGUCAAAAUUUUUAUAUGCUGAUGGUUAAUAUAAAUAUGUAUAUAAAAUUAAGGAUAGUUUUGAAAAGUUUAUACAUAUGCUAAAUUUUUUUUAGAGAAUAAUGAUAUUUUUGUAAUAAAUGUAAAAGUUAGAGGUUAUUUUUUGUUUCUUAGCUGUAGAGAAAAUUAUUUUUAUGUACUUUUUCAUGAAUAUUAGCAACUGUAUAUGAAAGAUAUGAUUGAAAUUAUCUUACUCUCUCACUUUUCUUUUCUAGAAAAAUAAAUAUAUAAAUAUUCUUGGUGUGUGAUUGGAGUAAAGACAGAAAAGUAGUGGGUGCAAUCUAGCUCGAACCAGUAUAUAAUGGAGGAACAAAACAAUAUAAAUGUAUCACUAAACCUAAAAGUUAAGAGGGAAGAAGCAACAAAAACCUGAACCGUAUUAGUUUUAGUGUUUUGAACUUCAAGGAUCCAUCUAGGUUCCUUAGCAAAGGGGAGGCCAGUUCCUCCCCAGAGCUGAGACGAUGAGUAACUCUCCGAUUCAUCAACUCCAUCGGUAUCGUAAUCAAUACUGAGAACACGAGAAUUGAAGUUGAUGAAG
rnacentral:lncRNA from 1 species